UAGCCUAGUGGUUAGAGCACUCACCUGGGAUGUGGGAGACCGAGGUUCAAGCCCUUG
rnacentral:tRNA from 1 species